AACUUUUAACAACGGAUCACUUGGUUCUGGCAUCGAUGAAGAACCCAGCGAAAUGCGAUAAGUAGUGUGAAUUGCAGAAUUCAGUGAAUCAUCGAAUCUUUGAACGCACAUUGCGCCCCUUGGUAUUCCAUGGGGCAUGCCUGUUCGAGCGUCAUUUAUACCUUCAAGCCUAGCUUGGUGUUGGGUGUUUUGUUCUAGUGUAGAACUCGCCUUAAAAGCAUUGGCAGCCGAUUAUAUAGAGGUAACGCGCAGUACAUUUGCGAGGUUGGCUCUAUAUAUCAGCAUCCACAAGUAUUAUUAUCUUGACCUCGGAUCAGGUAGGGAUACCCGCUGAACUUAAGCAUAUCAAUAAGCGGAGGCU
rnacentral:misc_RNA from 1 species